CCAUUGUGGAGCUUUCCCGUACAAGGAUUAACCAUCACAAGCGGUGCAGUGCAGCUCUGGCAACCUCCCUGGAAAACACGCAUCCUGAAUAAUGAUGACUGCUGAAAGCAGGACAGAAAAUCCACCCGUCUGCUCCUUAAAUCAGCACUGGUGACCAGCACCUCAGACAAAGAGCAGUGCUGGGUAGCACCCCCAUUCCCACAGCCUGCCCCCCCGGCAAACCUGGCUUGUUCUCUACAGAUGCUCCCAUCAAAGCACACAGGGAAGAGUACUCCAAAGAAUUUUUACCCUUCCUUCGUCACCACUCUGCUUGGAUGCCUUUGUAGUGAUGGGAGAAAACAUCUAUCUGAUGCCAAAGAACAUCCUGCGGUUGGAAAAUCACAGGCGUGUCUGCAACCCUCCAGAGGAGACAGAGUGAUUCAGAGGCCCUCAGAUGGUGAUGGAAAGCAGAGAACCAGACUUCAGGUGUAAACUGGAGAGAACUUUGCUGCCAGCGAGACGUCCUUUGAGGUGGUUGCAGCUCAAAAGAGUUGAAAUGAGAAGAGCCAGAGUUUGACUAGAAGCCAAAAAAAGACCAGCUGAGGUCAGUUAACCUACCACGCUGCAUGUGGGAGAUCUAUGAUCGGGAACCGUCGCUGCCUGCUCUGAAAUAGCGUAAUUGAAGGGAUACAGUCUUCAAAGGUAUCCUUGCCUGAAUGGCAGCUUCUAGGGCUUGCUAGGCACUGCUGAUGGAGGAUUCAGAAAAAUGCUGCAACUGGUGAGAGAAAUCAUGCUACUCGUGUAACAAACUAGCGCUCAGGGAGGGAGUCCUUGUGGAGGGAUAGAAAAAGUAUAGAGAGGCAGACCAAGAUGCUCAAAAGUAUGAAAGCAGCACCUGAAUAGAGUUGGACUUCUCAUCCUGUCAGUGAUGGAGUGCCAUGACAGAGACAAAAAAUCGUGGGUCUAAGCUGCUUGGUGACUUGAAGGUGACUUCCAGUUUUUUUAUUAUUCUUAGCUGAUAUUCAGAUACCCAAAAACUUGAGGAAAUCUUCUGUACUUUUACCCACUGCUUUCUUGAUAUGUCUCAGACACAGGUGAGAGUACUUAUUUUGCAGACAUUUAUAAAAUCAUGUGAGAAGGAGAUGCAGGAAGCAGACAUAUUCAAAGCUAAAUGGAUAAUGGAGCUUGGAAUAACAACCAUUCAAAAGGCCCAAUACGUUCAUCAUCACCUCUCCAUUCUGAAGAGAAUGUCAAAGUAGUGAUAUUUCAGUAGUCUGCUAAUAAUAAAAACAAGCAGAGAAAACUGUAGCUAUUGGAAGACAAAAUUAAAUGUGAAUAAACAAUUUCUUUUACUUUCUUGGAAAUUAUCCCCUCUGUCUUCUCAUUGCUUUCAUCAGAAAUGUGCACUCACACCUAGCCACAAUUUCCUUCCCCCAAAUCCUAAAUGAGAAAGCCCACAAUGGGUGAUGAAGACAUUGCAAUUGCUAGCCUAGCUGCACAAUAUAUUAUCUAAUGUCAAAAUUCUUGUUCAACAUGGCAUGCAAUUCCUGUUCAGCAAGGGCACAGAGUUGAUAAAUUUCUGACUUUUCCCUGACUUCUUAGACCUUUUGCGUAACUGCGCAUUUCACAAAUCUGUAACUCUACCAGAAAAAUUUGGUGCCCUGAGGUCAAGAUUCAGUUGAGUUCUGUCAUCAUUGAUGCCUGCUCUCGAUUCUGGGUUUGGCAAGCUGGCUAACCUGCAUUUAAUGAAGGUGAUCUGUGAGAACUCCAGAUCUGAAGACAUAAGCAAAAAAUUCACAGACCUGAAGCUAGAUCAUUUGAAGGCAAAUCUUAGCAUUAUAAAUAUGUGCCAGUAGCUUCCUCCAGAGGUUUUGGAAAUUAGAUAGAAAUUUCCACUGAAAAUUUCAGCUGCUUUGCAAUGGUUACUGCUGUGGCUAACCAGGUUUGGAAUAGGUCUGCUGACUGGAUUUUGUUGAUCCCUUGAGCAAUAAAUCUUGCAGUAGAAAGAAGAGAGCAGAAGGUUUCUAAUAGAAUUUCCACCUAGAAAAUUUCAUUUUAGACAUGCUCAUCUAUGGAGAACCUGAUCUUUCAAACAGCCUACUCCCUGAUACCUUCCAUCGUAUUUGAUGGCACCAAGCACUACAUGUGGUCAAGGAGGCACAGAUUCCUUCACAUCAGAAGGAGAGAGCACCAGGCAAAAUCCUCCUCUAAAAGCAGUCAUGCAACUUAGGGGCAAAAUUCAGCCCUUAAGAACUGAUGAUCCAGAUGAAGUUAUUAUUUCAGUACUAUUGUUACUGGUCUGGUGUUAGUGAAGCAAUGUCACUUCUCUGAACAAAAUGACUCAGCACCUUCCAGAAGAAAGAACUCUGGCGCUGACCUCUGCCUGUCCUUGACAUACCAGGGUUGUCAUGGUGCCUCAAAGGACCUAAGGAAAAGCAACAAGAACUCCUAAAUAAUUUGGCAGGAAGGAAAAUGCCCUCUUGUCAGAAAGUUUCCCUUAGCCCUGUAUAGAACAAGAUCUAUCUAUCUGACAAACAGUUAACUUCUAGUUUAGGAGAUAAAGACAGUCUCAUAUUUAUGAAAAUUCUUUUAAAAAUAAAGCAGUUUAUGUUUCCAGUGCAGGGAUAGUCAGAGAAAGUAUGUUACUUAUGAGACAUAUUUGGCCCAGCUCCCACCCUUGGAGUAUGAUAAUCAGAUCUGGAUGAAUAUACAUGGACUUUUCUCUUCUGGGAGUGCUGGACCACAUCAUGCUGAAAUGGCAACAGCUGGAAAUAUAUUUGAUGUUCAUCAAGUUUAUUUGAAUGCUCUUUCUUACCUUGGCAACAGUAUCAAGGUUCCUUGUAAAUCCUUCCAAAUGCAGUUUCUUCUGUGGUUUUGUGGUUUCUU